AAAAAAGCUAAUCAACAGAGUGGCUUAGAAUCUUAUUCUUGGUAGCUUCUCAAAGGUUCUUGAUCUCUUUCUCAAUAAACUCAAUAGUCAAUCUGUCUUCUUUAUAGUCAAUCCACUCUCAUCUCCUCCGCUCUUCACUCUCCUUCCUGUGUUUCAUUUCACUCUUGUAGCUCUCUCAAAGCCUCUCCCACUUCUCUGCCAUGAAUGGCCCAAAGUAUUCCUAUCCUUAUCCAGCUCAAGGAUAUUACCAAGGGCCACCUGUGAUGGCUCCACCACAAUAUGCUGCUCCACCACCAAGAAGAGAGCUUGGCUUUCUUGAAGGAUGCCUUGCUGCUUUGUGCUGUUGCUGCCUGAUUGAUGAGUGUUGCUGCGACCCAUCCAUAAUAUUCAUCAGCUAAUCGUGCUGUUACUGAAAUGUUCUCAUGUUCUCUGCCUUCUCUAUCAGUGAAGAAUUAAUCAAGCUAUUGGCAGCAGUUGUGAUUGUAAAUAUUUAAUAAAACUAUAUAGAAAUCAAUUAGUACCUCUGUUGUGGAGCAGUUCGAGUGUUGCAACUUUUCUGCUUUGAAAGACUUGAACAGAAUUGUGCAUGAUAAGUCUUGCUGUCUCUAUUGUGGGGCAGUUGAAGUGAUGCAAAUUCCUGCCUUUUUCUGUAAAAAUCAGCAUGGAAAAUCCUACAAUAAUGCAUAUACCAUAAACUUCUCA